AUUUUGAUAUAUAGAACAUCAAAAUUGGAGUUCGUAUGCGAAAGUUAUGGCUGUUUUACGAACGGACUCCGAAUUAGAGGACAAAACGGUCCGGAAGUGGGAAAAAUUUGCGAUGGUGGCUAGAAAUUGAUGGAAAUAGUGGGAAAAAAUAGACAAACUGGACUGUAACAAGACCUAACCAGCAACAAGACCUCGACCAGGACACAAACUCAACACUACGGACUCUGAAACUGAAAUAUGCAAAGGCUAUGGCGCGGAUGGGUUGUAGGACAUGAAAACAAUAUGGCAAUAGACUUAUGGGACGAACACAAGGACACUUCAAACUAAGGGUAGAUGUGAACCUAACGAUAUGUCUGAAGCUUUGAUUACCACUUCAGGAGAACAAGUGUGGCCCGAUCUUCCGAAAGUUUCUGGUAACUAUCGAUUUGGUGAAAACGAGAGACAUAUCAAUCCAGCUUGCGAACAACACAAUUCGAAACCCUACAAUUCUUUUUAUUUUUUUUGAUAUUUUUCUUUUACUAAGGAGCACUCAAGAAGUAACCACAGGAAAUUUGAGCUUAAACAAGUGAAAGACGUGGCCUGUUGAAUUUUUUGAAGAUUGUGAAAAAUAUGAAAAAAAUUUAGGAGGUGAAAACUCAAACUUCAGAGGCGAAUUUGGGGAUUCUAAAAUUGUCGAACCCGCCGUUGGCGGGAUAGACAGAUCCAAAAAAAUUUUCUAAUCGAUUUUGAUAUAUGGAACGUCAAAAUUGGAGUUCGUAUGCGAAAGUUAUGGCUGUUUUACGAACCGACUCCGAAUUAGAGGACAAAACGGUCCGGAAGUGGGAAAAAUUUGCGAUGGUGGCUAGAAAUUGAUGGAAAUAGUGGGAAAAAACACACAAACUGGACUGUAACAAGACCUAACCAGUAACAAGACCUCGACCAGGACACAAACUCAACACUACGGACUCUGAAACUGAAAUAUGCAAAGGCUAUGGCGCGGAUGGAUUGUAGGACAUGAAAACAAUAUGGCGCUAGACUUAUGCGACGAACACAGGGACACUUGAAACUAAGGGUAGAUGUGAACCUAACGGCAUGUCUAAAGCAUUGAUUACCACUUGAGGAGAACAAGUGUGGCCCGAUCUUCCGAAACUUUCUGGUAACUAUCGAUUUGGUGGAAACGAGAGACAUAUCAAUCCAGCUUGCGAACAACACAAUUCGAAACCCUGCAAUUCUUUUUAUUUUUUUUGAUAUUUUUCUUUUACUAAGGAGCACUCAAGAAGUAACCACAGGAAAUUUGAGCUUAAACAAGUGAAAGACGUGACCUGUGGAAUUUUUUGAAGAUUGUGAAAAAUAUGAAAAAAAUUUAGGAGGUGAAAACUCAAAUUUCAGAGGCGAAUUUGGGGAUUCUAAAAUUGUCGAACCCGCCGUUGGCGGGAUAGACAGAUCCAAAAAAAUUUUCUGAUCGAUUUUGAUAUAUGGAAUGUCAAAAUUGAAGUUCGUAUGCGAAAGUUAUGGCUGUUUUACGAACGGACUCCGAAUUAGAGGACAAAACGGUCCGGAAGUGGGAAAAAUUUGCGAUGGUGGCUAAAAAUUGAUGGAAAUAGUGGGAAAAAACAGACAAACUCGACUGUAACAAGACCUAACCAGUAACAAGACCUCGACCAGGACACAAACUCAACACUACGGACUCUGAAACUGAAAUAUGCAAAGGCUAUGGCGCGGAUGGGUUGUAGGACAUGAAAACAAUAUGGCGCUAGACUUAUGCGACGAACACAGGGACACUUGAAACUAAGGGUAGAUGUGAACCUAACGGCAUGUCUGAAGCAUUGAUUACCACUUGAGGAGAACAAGUGUGGCCCGAUCUUCCGAAACUUUCUGGUAACUAUCGAUUUGGUGGAAACGAGAGACAUAUCAAUCCAGCUUGCGAACAACACAAUUCGAAACCCUGCAAUUCUUUUUAUUUUUUUUGAUAUUUUUCUUUUACUAAGGAGCACUCAAGAAGUAACCACAGGAAAUUUGAGCUUAAACAAGUGAAAGACGUGGCCUGUGGAAUUUUUUGAAGAUUGUGAAAAAUAUGAAAAAAAUUUAGGAGGUGAAAAUUCAAACUUCAGAGGCGAAUUUGGGGAUUCUAAAAUUGUCGAACCCGCCGUUGGCGGGAUAGACAGAUCCAAAAAAAUUUUCUGAUCGAUUUUGAUAUAUGGAACGUCAAAAUUGGAGUUCAUAUGCGAAAGUUAUGGCUGUUUUACGAACGGACUCCGAAUUAGAGGACAAAACGGUCCGGAAGUGGGAAAAAUUUGCGAUGGUGGCUAGAAAUUGAUGGAAAUAGUGGGAAAAAACAGACAAACUGGACUGUAACAAGACCUAACCAGUAACAAGACGUCGACCAGGACACAAACUCAACACUACGGACUCUGAAACUGAAAUAUGCAAAGGCUAUGGCGCGGAUGGGUUGUAGGACAUGAAAACAAUAUGGCACUAGACUUAUGCGACGAACACAAGGACACUUGAAACUAAGGGUAGAUGUGAACCUAACGGCAUGUCUGAAGCAUUGAUUACCACUUGAGGAGAACAAGUGUGGCCCGAUCUUCCGAAAGUUUCUGGUAACUAUCGAUUUGGUGGAAACGAGAGACAUAUCAAUCCAGUUUGCGAACAACACAAUUUGAAACCCUACAAUUCUUUUUUUUGAUAUUUUUCUUUUACUUAGGAGCACUCAAGAAGUAACCACAGGAAAUUUGAGCUUAAACAAGUGAAUUACGUGGCCUGUGGAAUUUUAUGAAGAUUGUGAAAAAUAUGAAAAAAAACUUUAGGAGGUGAAAACUCAAACUUCAGAGGCGAAUUUGGGGAUCCUAUAAUUGUCGAACCCGCUGUUGGGGGGGAUAGACAGAUCCAAAAAAGAUUUUCUGAUCGAUUUUGAUAUAUGAAACGUCAAAAUUGGAGUUCGUAUGCGAAAGUUAUGGCUGUUUUACGAACGGACUCCGAAUUAGAGGACAAAACGGUCCGGAAGUGGGAAAAAUUUGCGAUGGUGGCUAGAAAUUGAUGGAAACAGUGGGAAAAAACAGACAAACUGGACUGUAACAAGACCUAACCAGUAACAAGACCUCGACCAGGACACAAACUCAACACUACGGACUCUGAAACUGAAAUAUGCAAAGGCUAUGGCGCGGAUGGGUUGUAGGACAUGAAAACAAUAUGGCAAUAGACUUAUGCGACGAACACAAGGACACUUCAAACUAAGGGUAGAUGUGAACCUAACGAUAUGUCAGAAGCUUUGAUUACCACUUCAGGAGAACAAGUGUGGCCCGAUCUUGCGAAAGUUUCUGGUAACUAUCGAUUUGGUGGAAACGAGAGACAUAUCAAUCCAGCUUGCGAACAACACAAUUCGAAACCCUGCAAUUCUUUUUAUUUUUUUGAUAUUUUUCUUUUACUAAGGAGCACUCAAGAAGUAACCACAGGAAAUUUGAGCAUAAACAAGUGAAAGACGUGGCCUGUGGAAUUUUUUGAAGAUUGUGAAAAAUAUGAAAAAAAUUUAGGAGGUGAAAACUCAAACUUCAGAGGCGAAUUUGAGGAUUCUAAAAUUGUCGAACCCGCCGUUGGUAACGGCGGGAUAGACAGAUCCAAAAAAAUUUUCUGAUCGAUUUUGAUAUAUGCAACGUCAAAAUUGGAGUACGUAUGCGAAAGAUAUGGCUGUUUUACGAACGGACUCCGAAUUAGAGGACAAAACGGUCCGGAAGUGGGAAAAAUUUGCGAUGGUGGCUAGAAAUUGAUGGAAAUAGUGGGAAAAAACAGACAAACUGGACUGUAACAAGACCUAACCAGUAACAAGACCUCGACCAGGACACAAACUCAACACUACGGACUCUGAAACUGAAAUAUGCAAAGGCUAUGGCGCGGAUGGGUUGUAGGACAUGAAAACAAUAUGGCAAUAGACUUAUGGGACGAACACAAGGACACUUCAAACUAAGGGUAGAUGUGAACCUAACGAUAUGUCUGAAGCUUUGAUUACCACUUCAGGAGAACAAGUGUGGCCCGAUCUUCCGAAACUUUCUGGUAACUAUCGAUUUGGUGGAAACGAGAGACAUAUCAAUCCAGCUUGCGAACAACACAAUUCGAAACCCUGCAAUUCUUUUUAUUUUUUUUGAUAUUUUUCUUUUACUAAGGAGCACUCAAGAAGUAACCACAGGAAAUUUGAGCUUAAACAAGUGAAAGACGUGGCCUGUGGAAUUUUUUGAAGAUUGUGAAAAAUAUGAAAAAAAUUUAGGAGGUGAAAACUCAAACUUCAGAGGCGAAUUUGGGGAUUCUAAAACUGUCGAACCCGCCGUUGGCGGGAUAGACAGAUCCAAAAAAAUUUUCUGAUCGAUUUUGAUAUAUGGAACGUCAAAAUUGGAGUUCGUAUGCGAAAGUUAUGGCUGUUUUACGAACGGACUCCGAAUUAGAGGACAAAACGGUCCGGAAGUGGGAAAAAUUUGCGAUGGUGGCUAGAAAUUGAUGGAAAUAGUGGGAAAAAACAGACAAACUGGACUGUAACAAGACCUAACCAGUAACAAGACCUCGACCAGGACACAAACUCAACACUACGGACUCUGAAACUGAAAUAUGCAAAGGCUAUGGCGCGGAUGGGUUGUAGGACAUGAAAACAAUAUGGCACUAGACUUAUGCGACGAACACAAGGACACUUGAAACUAAGGGUAGAUGUGAACCUAACGGCAUGUCUGAAGCAUUGAUUACCACUUGAGGAGAACAAGUGUGGCCCGAUCUUCCGAAAGUUUCUGGUAACUAUCGAUUUGGUGGAAACGAGAGACAUAUCAAUCCAGUUUGCGAACAACACAAUUCGAAACCCUACAAUUCUUUUUUUUGAUAUUUUUCUUUUACUUAGGAGCACUCAAGAAGUAACCACAGGAAAUUUGAGCUUAAACAAGUGAAUUACGUGGCCUGUGGAAUUUUAUGAAGAUUGUGAAAAAUAUGAAAAAAAACUUUAGGAGGUGAAAACUCAAACUUCAGAGGCGAAUUUGGGGAUCCUAUAAUUGUCGAACCCGCCGUUGGGGGGGAUAGACAGAUCCAAAAAAAUUUUCUGAUCGAUUUUGAUAUAUGGAACGUCAAAAUUGGAGUUCGUAUGCGAAAGUUAUGGCUGUUUUACGAACGGACUCCGAAUUAGAGGACAAAACGGUCCGGAAGUGGGAAAAAUUUGCGAUGGUGGCUAGAAAUUGAUGGAAACAGUGGGAAAAAACAGACAAACUGGACUGUAACAAGACCUAACCAGUAACAAGACCUCGACCAGGACACAAACUCAACACUACGGACUCUGAAACUGAAAUAUGCAAAGGCUAUGGCGCGGAUGGGUUGUAGGACAUGAAUACAAUAUGGCAAUAGACUUAUGGGACAACACAAGGACACUUCAAACUAAGGGUAGAUGUGAACCUAACGAUAUGUCUGAAGCUUUGAUUACCACUUCAGGAGAACAAGUGUGGCCCGAUCUUCCGAAAGUUUCUGGUAACUAUCGAUUUGGUGGAAACGAGAGACAUAUCAAUCCAGCUUGCGAACAACACAAUUCGAAACCCUACAAUUCUUUUUAUUUUUUUUGAUAUUUUUCAUUUACUAAGGAGCACUCAAGAAGUAACCUCAGGAAAUUUGAGCUUCAACAAGUGAAAGACGUGGCCUGUGGAAUUUUUUGAAGAUUGUGAAAAAUAUGAAAAAAAUUUAGGAGGUGAAAACUCAAACUUCAGAGGCGAAUUUGGGGAUUCUAAAAUUGUCGAACCCGCCGUUGGCGGGAUAGACAGAUCCAAAAAAAUUUUCUGAUCGAUUUUGAUAUAUAGAACAUCAAAAUUGGAGUUCGUAUGCGAAAGUUAUGGCUGUUUUACGAACGGACUCCGAAUUAGAGGACAAAACGGUCCGGAAGUGGGAAAAAUUUGCGAUGGUGGCUAGAAAUUGAUGGAAAUAGUGGGAAAAAAUAGACAAACUGGACUGUAACAAGACCUAACCAGCAACAAGACCUCGACCAGGACACAAACUCAACACUACGGACUCUGAAACUGAAAUAUGCAAAGGCUAUGGCGCGGAUGGGUUGUAGGACAUGAAAACAAUAUGGCAAUAGACUUAUGGGACGAACACAAGGACACUUCAAACUAAGGGUAGAUGUGAACCUAACGAUAUGUCUGAAGCUUCGAACACCACUUCAGGAGAACAAGUGUGGCCCGAUCUUCCGAAACUUUCUGGUAACUAUCGAUUUGGUGGAAACGAGAGACAUAUCAAUCCAGCUUGCGAACAACACAAUUCGAAACCCUGCAAUUCUUUUUAUUUUUUUUGAUAUUUUUCUUUUACUAAGGAGCACUCAAGAAGUAACCACAGGAAAUUUGAGCUUAAACAAGUGAAAGACGUGGCCUGUUGAAUUUUUUGAAGAUUGUGAAAAAUAUGAAAAAAAUUUAGGAGGUGAAAACUCAAACUUCAGGGGCGAAUUUGGGGAUUCUAAAAUUGUCGAACCCGCCGUUGGCGGGAUAGACAGAUCCAAAAAAAUUUUCUAAUCGAUUUUGAUAUAUGGAACGUCAAAAUUGGAGUUCGUAUGCGAAAGUUAUGGCUGUUUUACGAACGGACUCCGAAUUAGAGGACAAAACGGUCUGGAAGUGGGAAAAAUUUGCGAUGGUGGCUAGAAAUUGAUGAAAAUAGUGGGAAAAAACAGACAAACUGGACUGUAACAAGACCUAACCAGUAACAAGACCUCGACCAGGACACAAACUCAACACUACGGACUCUGAAACUGAAAUAUGCAAAGGCUAUGGCGCGGAUGGGUUGUAGGACAUGAAAACAAUAUGGCAAUAGACUUAUGGGACGAACACAAGGACACUUCAAACUAAGGGUAGAUGUGAAC
rnacentral:lncRNA from 1 species